UCAGCCAUAUCAUGGUAAAACACCGGUUACCGUACGAUUACCGAUGUUAAGCAACGUUGAGCAUGGUCAGUACCUAGAUGGAUGACCGCUUGGGAACACCAGG